GGGAAGGUAAACGGCGUUUCCGUGCGCUGCUCUGGUUUCGCCAGGAGUGGCUUAGUCAUGCUGGCCACAUGACCUGGAAGCUGUACGCUGGCUCCCUCGGCCAAUAAAGCAAGAUGAGCGCCGCAACUCCAGAGUCAGCCACGACUGGACCUAACGGUCAGUGGUCCCUUUACCUUUACCUUUGCUCAAAAGUGACAUGAUAAGAACUCCCCUCCCCAAAAGCUGUCCCUUUGCAUAAGCAAAAGAUGGAACCAGUUAUCAAAUUUUAGGAAGGCCCCAGGCCAAAGUGGGUGAGGGCAGUGAGAGAGGAGAGACAGCUUGGCGGGGCAGAUAGCCAGCGGAGGUUCAAGACCAACAAAUGCCAAGUCCUGGUGCUGCCAGCCAGUAGGAAUCCACCCAGCCUUAGGGAACAUCCAAGCUUCCAUUUGCCCCAAGAUUUCUCGGAAUGGGCCCAAUAGGCUCUCUCUCUCUUUGGUUCC